UUAGUAUUAUUGUAAUAGCCGAACAACAAAUGAGUCUGCGGACUCCGUCGCUCUGCCUGCGCUGAGGGCAGUCAUUAGUUUCAGUCAGUGAAAAAUAUAACUGCUUUGGGAUUCGCUCGGUCCUUCAGAUAGAUAGCCACGUUGAAGUCAUUCUGAUGUUUAUCCAAAAAGUUGGGAUCCUCGUUUUAUCAAUUGUGCGCCCCCCUGGCGCUUUGAUUUCGGCACCCAUCGUAUAAGAGUGGUUCUAUGUCUAGUAUGUCUUGAUCAGCACUCGAAGGAACUUCAAACUUUGCAAAUGGUUUGGAAUCGCCAUGGUUUUGCUUAUAGCCUUCAUCCCGGAUCCUCUCACGCUCAUUGAAGAUCUCAUUGAACUGGGUCUAAUUUGAAAUACAGACAAAACAUAAUCAACACAUUUGUAACACAUAAAAUACAGACAAAAGCCUUGGAUUACACUUUUACACACUCCUGGAAUUGCCAAACAAAUAACAAAUAUUAUAGAUUGUACCAAAAAUACAUAUUUUAUAAUGUUUAU